CCUCCUUUCUAAGGAUGUUGUAGGUGGACACUCAUCACCAUCCAUGAAUUCCUUUCGAUAAAUUUAUGUACAGGCGCGUAGCUCAGUUGGUUAGAGCGCACGACUGAUAAUCGUGAGGUCGGCAGUUCAAAUCUGCCCGUGCCUACCAAAUCGCACUGAACUUCGCGGUUAACAUAUUUUAUUGAAAUGAAUUACCAGGAAUACUGGUAGCUGUUUGACAAAGUUAGUGAAGAGAUCUCAAGAACAUUGGCAUAUGAUGCUUGACCGCAAUCAUAUGCUAUGCUUUCGUUCCGUAUUAAAAUUGUAAUUUAGUUAUUAAUUGCUAUUUUUCGUAUACGGUUCGAUCAAGCGUCAAAAAGGGCAUUUGGU
rnacentral:tRNA from 1 species